rnacentral:lncRNA from 1 species
CAUAGUAGCAAAAGAUACUUUGUAGUUGCUGGUAUGAUAUUUAUUGAAUGGAGUGAUCAUGGAGUAUUGGUAGCAUCGCGGUCAUCCAAAUUACAGCUUAAACCAAGCUCCUUGCUUCUACAAUAGAGAAUUUGAGUUUUGUAAGACUAAAUGGUACAAAAUAAGAUAUUACUUUACUCGUAUGUAAGAAAAAAUGUGUUUUGGUGCUUAUUGACAAAUUGUAAGCAUGAUAGUGUGAUUUUUUAUUGGAGCAGUUUUUGGAAGUAUUAAUGCAUUAGAAAAAUAAUAGUUGUUUAGUAAGGAGGGACAAUAAGAUAUAUAGUUAUGUAAUAGAAGGAAAUCUGGUUUGCAAAAAAUAAUAAAUAACUGAUGUAUGUCUCUUAUGUGUUUCGUACUGCUUUAUUACUUCGUGUUGCUGUAUUCCAACGGUGAGCACAGGUAGAAGCAAAGGUAAAGUUCUAGAAAGUAUAUAAUCAAAACUCCACAUCAACCAUGAACAAAAAAUUAGCCGAUAAAUAUUCUUUUAUUUCUGGAUGAAAUCAUAUAACUGAUUAUUAAGAGCUAGACAUUCUCUUUACACAUAUUCACAAUGAAACUAAUAAUAAGAUGCAACCCUGACCCAUAAUUAAAUAAGCAAGAAACAUCGCAAGGUAAUUAUACCUGUGAUUCAUAUCAACCAUUAACUUACCAAGUUUUACCAUAAUUUACUGGAGCUACACUAUCACAAAUUUAGCACCCAUUUAUUUAGGUCAACAAUUAGGCCAUCAUAUGUGAUACAUAAGACAUGUUUUAGCGAAUAUCCAGGAUGGCACUAUUAAACAUCUCUCUAAACAAUAAAGCAAAGCGAACACAUCUAAGAACGAUUUAUAAUCUGGAAUGCAGAGUAUGCAACAUACUCAUGGAUUUAUGAACUGACGCAUACAAAUUAAAAUUUAUGAAUUUUUAAAAGUAUGGUAAUUCUAUGUUUAUAUUAAUGUAACUAUGGAUUCGCAUGGAAAAGCAUUGUUGUAGAGUGUUGUAAAUGCUUUUAUUGUUCUAGUAUUAUCUACUUUACUUUUUUAUUAGUACUUAGGUAAUUUAAAGAUGUUUGAUUGUUUUGAAUGGCAUUAGCUAGAGUUGGAGAAGCAAACCUUUUUGAAGGAGAUUCAACAGUAGCAAUUUUAGGAAUAGAGUCAACUAAACUGGUUGUUUCGUCUAUUAAGUAAAGAUGAAUGUAUGUAUCAAUGUUUUAUUUAGAUAAAUUCAUUUUAAUAGUAUCAUCUAAGCUUUUGUUAGAGAAUUACCUAUGGCGCUUUUUGUUCUAAGAAGUCAUCCUUUUUCGAAGCAGAGGUCUCUGAGCUAAGAUAUGUUAGCACCGGUUUGGCCUGUGUGUAGCAAUGGUAAUGUAUUAGAGUAAAGAAAGCAAAAAAUGGGAAAAUAUAAAAAAUAAGACUAAAAGCGGUUUUUUCAUCUAAAAUAUAACUAUGCACAUUAUACAUUACAUGAGGUGGUGAGCUAGUCGUCAGAUUUAAAAAAAUGAAUAAUCAUGCAAAGAAGAGAAACGUAAUAGUAGCAACAAUGGAGGAAAAUACAAAAAUCAGAGCACACCAUUAGAAAGGCAGAAAGGAAUGUGUAAUAAAAUGAACCUUGUUGGAGCAGCAUUUUCCCCCCAAGCAUAUAUGUAGAAGUUAAUGAAGCCCAUCUUUCCGAACCAAAGAUUAGGAUGUGCUGUCAAAUUUUAAAAUUAUAACAAAUUAGCAGAGAAUCAUAAUAAUUGAAUAUUGAUGCAAACAAUAACUAUAUAAUAGUACCACUAAUGGAGGAAAAAAUAGUAAGAUUGGAGCACACCGUUAUGAAAACUCAAAAAGGAAUGUGUAAUGAGAUGUACCUUGGUCAAUAGUUUUUUUCCUGUGGAAAUAUGUAGAAGCUGACAAAGCCCGUGUUUCCAAACCAAAGAUUAGUAUUUACUGUCAAAUAAAAAUUAACAAAAUAGUAAACAGUCAAUGCACUGACGUUUAUGUGCUAAACUAAUAAGGUACUAUAGAUACUAAAUGAUCGUCGUGUUUAGAGGUAAUGUAGCAAUUUAUGAACCAUUUUUUUUUAAAAAAUGAAUAGUCUUGCAAAGAAGAGAAACGUAAUAGUAGCAACAAUGGAGAAAAAUACUAAAAUCAGAGCACACCAUUAGAAAGGCAGAAAGGAAUGUGUAAUAAAAUGAACCUUGUUGGAGCAGCAUUUUUCCCCCAAGCAGAUAUGUAGAAGUUAAUGAAGCCCGUCUUUCCGAACCAAAGAUUAGGAUUUGCUGUCAAAUUUUAAAAUUAUAACAAAUUAGCAGAGAAUCAUAAUAAUUGAAUAUUGAUGCAAACAAUAACUAUAUAAUAGUACCACUAAUGGAGGAAAAAAUAGUAAGAUUGGAGCACACUGUUAUGAAAAGCCAAAAAGGAAUGUGUAAUGAGAUGUACCUUGGUUAAUUAGUUUUUUUCCUGUGGACAUAUGUAGAAGCUGACAAAGCCCGUGUUUCCAAACCAAACAUUAGUAUUUACUAUCAAAUAAAAAAUAACAAAACAGUAAACAGUCAAUGCACGGACGUUUAUGUGCUAAACUAAUAAGGUACUAUAGAUAGUAAAUGAACGUCGUGUUUAGAGGUAAUGUAGCAAUUUAUGAACCAUUUUUUUAAAAAAUGAAUAGUCAUGCAAAGAAGAGAAACGUAAUAGUAGCAACAAUGGAGAAAAAUACUAAAAUCAGAGCACACCAUUAGAAAGGCAGAAAGGAAUGUGUGAUAAAAUGAACCUUGUUGGAGCAACAUUUUCCCCCAAGCAGAUAUGUAGAAGUUAAUGAAGCCUGUCUUUUCGAACCAAAGAUUAGGAUUUGCUGUCAAAUUUUAAGAUUAUAACAAAUUAGCGGAGAAUCAUAAUAAUUGAAUAUUGAUGCAAACAAUAAAUAUAUAAUAGUACCACUAAUGGAGGAAAAAAUACUAAGAUUGGAGCACAGUGUUAUGAAAAGCCAAAAAGGAAUGUGUAAUGAGAUGUACCUUGGUCAAUCAGUUUUUUUCCUAUGGACAUAUGUAGAAGCUGACAAAGCCCGUGUUUCCAAACCAAAGAUUAGUAUUUGCUAUCAAAUAAAAAAUAAGAAAACAGUAAACAGUCAAUGCACGGACGUUUAUGUGCUAAACUAAUAAGGUACUAUAGAUACUAAAUGAACGUCGUGUUUAGAGGUAAUGUAGCAAACUUGUGAAAAUGUUUUAAGUAAAUGUACCAAACAAUAGAUAGUUAUAUAAAGAAGAAGCACACAUAUAAAUAGUUUUGCGAAGAACAAAUACAUAAUAGUACCACCACUGGAGAGAAAUAGUUAAAUUGGAGGACACUGUUAGGAAAAGGAAUGCGUAAUGAAAUAUACCUUGAUUAGGCAACCUUUUUUUCCCUGAGAAAAUAUGUAGAAGUUUAUGAAGCCCGUAUUUCCAAAACAAAGAUUAGAAUUUACUAGCAAAUUAAAAUGAAUGAAAAAGUAAGCAACGAAUGAUUCUAUGUUGAGGUACUAUGAACAUCUUGUUUACAGGAAAUGUAGUUACCACAUGUAUUGUUUAGAGUAACUAUAGCAAGCAUAGAUCUAUACACAACACGACACGAAAAAAAAUCGGUAUCACUACACACCAAAAGAUGCUCUCGGAUGAAAUAUAACUAAAGUUCAAGAGCCUGAGGAUGGUAUAACUAACUUAUUUGUGACCCACCGCCAUUAACAAUAUGGAAGCAGAGAAAGCUCCUACGCGACAGAUACUUGCGAUGAAAAUUUAUCAAGUGCGAGCAGUUGUACAGACCUCCGAUAGAGAUAAGGCAUCCGGCGAGGACACUC